AUGAUUCGUCGCUUUUGGUGGGGUGCAGAGAAGGGCAAGCGAAAAACACACUGGGUCAGUUGGGACAACAUGUUACGCCCAAAAGGAAGAGGAGGAACGGGAUUCAAAGAUCUCCGCCUGUUCAACCAGACCUUGUUGGCACGCCAAGCGUGGCGACUCAUUGAGUUCCCAAACAGUUUUUGUGCACAAGUUCUGCGAGCCAAGUAUUAUCCCUCCGGCAAUCUUACAGAUACAGUGUUCACAGGGAAUGGCUCGGCCACAUGGCUUGCAAUUGAACAUAGGCUCGAGUUGGUGAAGAAAGGUUACAUCUGGCGUGUCGGGAACGGAACAAACAUCCGGAUUUGGCAAGACCCCUGGAUUCCG
rnacentral:rRNA from 1 species